rnacentral:tRNA from 1 species
GGGCGUGUGGUCUAGCGGUUAUGACAUCGCCUUCACACGGCGAGGAUCCCCAGUUCGAAUCUGGGCACGCCCA